GAGUGGCGAACGGGUGAGUAACACGUGGGUAACCUGCCCAGAAGUAGGGGAUAACACCUGGAAACAGAUGCUAAUACCGUAUAACAGAGAAAACCGCAUGGUUUUCUUUUAAAAGAUGGCUCUGCUAUCACUUCUGGAUGGACCCGCGGCGUAUUAGCUAGUUGGUGAGGUAAAGGCUCACCAAGGCAGUGAUACGUAGCCGACCUGAGAGGGUAAUCGGCCACAUUGGGACUGAGACACGGCCCAGACUCCUACGGGAGGCAGCAGUAGGGAAUCUUCCACAAUGGACGCAAGUCUGAUGGAGCAACGCCGCGUGAGUGAAGAAGGGUUUCGGCUCGUAAAGCUCUGUUGUUAAAGAAGAACGUGGGUAAGAGUAACUGUUUACCCAGUGACGGUAUUUAACCAGAAAGCCACGGCUAACUACGUGCCAGCAGCCGCGGUAAUACGUAGGUGGCAAGCGUUAUCCGGAUUUAUUGGGCGUAAAGCGAGCGCAGGCGGUCUUUUAAGUCUAAUGUGAAAGCCUUCGGCUCAACCGAAGAAGUGCAUUGGAAACUGGGAGACUUGAGUGCAGAAGAGGACAGUGGAACUCCAUGUGUAGCGGUGAAAUGCGUAGAUAUAUGGAAGAACACCAGUGGCGAAGGCGGCUGUCUGGUCUGCAACUGACGCUGAGGCUCGAAAGCAUGGGUAGCGAACAGGAUUAGAUACCCUGGUAGUCCAUGCCGUAAACGAUGAUUACUAAGUGUUGGAGGGUUUCCGCCCUUCAGUGCUGCAGCUAACGCAUUAAGUAAUCCGCCUGGGGAGUACGACCGCAAGGUUGAAACUCAAAAGAAUUGACGGGGGCCCGCACAAGCGGUGGAGCAUGUGGUUUAAUUCGAAGCUACGCGAAGAACCUUACCAGGUCUUGACAUCUUCUGACAGUCUAAGAGAUUAGAGGUUCCCUUCGGGGACAGAAUGACAGGUGGUGCAUGGUUGUCGUCAGCUCGUGUCGUGAGAUGUUGGGUUAAGUCCCGCAACGAGCGCAACCCUUAUUACUAGUUGCCAGCAUUAAGUUGGGCACUCUAGUGAGACUGCCGGUGACAAACCGGAGGAAGGUGGGGACGACGUCAAAUCAUCAUGCCCCUUAUGACCUGGGCUACACACGUGCUACAAUGGAUGGUACAACGAGUCGCGAGACCGCGAGGUUAAGCUAAUCUCUUAAAACCAUUCUCAGUUCGGACUGUAGGCUGCAACUCGCCUACACGAAGUCGGAAUCGCUAGUAAUCGCGGAUCAGCAUGCCGCGGUGAAUACGUUCCCGGGCCUUGUACACACCGCCCGUCACACCAUGAGAGUUUGUAACACCCAAAGCCG
rnacentral:rRNA from 1 species